UUUCCUUUUUAAGUGUUACACCCCCCCCUCCCCCUGGGCUUAACCACAGGAGGACGUGACACAAGAAUUUAGCUGUGACUCAUCUGUUUUAACAGGCACAACACAAAACCGAUGCACUCAUGCUUCCCUCAGCACACUGUAUAUUGCAAUAAUUACAUCCAUCCUUUCACCUCAUGAUACUAAGAACAUCAUCUAUGCCUUUGUAGCUUAUUGGUUAGUCUACUGUAGCAAACUGUCUUACUUUAGUCUUUAAUAAAUCAUCUCCAGCAUAUUCAAACAUCUGCUGCCAGACUUUGAGUGGAUGCCCAAAGUGGAUAUACAUUUGGAGGGGAUCACUUCAUGGCCAGUAUGGGCAUGAGGAAGGAUUACAGCAACCAUAACUGUCUCAGUUUACAUAUGGCAUUUGGUGCUUUCAGAACCUUUCCUUCAGUCCUCCUUGGAGCUCCUUUGACGUCCUGUGCAGUGUUGAACUGUGGUAAUGUCUGAAGCAUCUGUCCUGUUAAAUGUCCGUCUGUUCCUGUCUGUGCUGCCUCUCCCCACUGCUGCUCCUCACCGCUCACGCACUUUGUGUUUGGCAUAUGCUGCCAUGAUUCUCCACACUGUUCUUUUAGCCAAGUGAAAUAAUUGUACAGUUUGUGUGAGUGAUGCACCGUCUCAGCCGUCUUCUCCGAAUUGCCCUUCAAUGUCACACAUAACAUUUUUGUUUGUCACACAGUCAUUUCAGGCUGACUGAAUGGUGUUAAUUCCUUUAUGUAAUGGCAUUACUUCACGGUAUGGAAAGUCUGAUGUCUUUGUCUGGAUCUUACAGAAACACAAUGCUGCCCUGGAGUGUCUGCUGCAUGAAUGCACCGUUAAAUGGCAAUCUUAAUAAACUAGUAA